AAAAUACAGGUUAUAUAUAAAUACGGCAUCAGUGGGUGUCCCAGAUAAAUCUUGCUGACGACAGAAGCUGAUCUAUAGCGCUGGUCGUUGAAAACAUCAAAUAUGUUUAUUGAUCUAAAGAUGCUUGCGUGUUUGGCAUUGUGUGUUGUCAUGGCACAAGGGGGAAAUAUGGAUCACCCUGAUAUUAUACGAAAGUUACUUAUGGAAGCAUUGUUCGGACGGGACUACUAUGAUAAUGUACCUAACCUAAUGAAGAAGGACUAUGAGGGGAAAGGGAAAGUACCUUAUAUUAUGAAGAAGGACUAUGAGGGGAAAGGGAAAGUGCCUUAUAU